GGAUGCGCAUGCAGGCUGCAUCACGGAAAAAAAGGAAGCGUAAAAAAUAAUGCUCAAAACCUUUUUUUUUUGUAUUUCGGAGAAAUUACAAGUGGUGCUGGUCAGAAACAUAACGUCAAUGAGAGGGAACUGCCCUGCACUUUCAUCCAAUGUCUGGAUUCUGGGAUCCCCUGGAAGUGAUCAAUGUAAGAGGACCUGAGCCCUAGGACCAUCCCUCAGGACUUCCUGGCAUGAUGACUCCUUGCUGUCCCCA